UGGCUCAGAUUGAACGCUAGCGGGAUGCCUUACACAUGCAAGUCGAACGGCAGCACGGACUUCGGUCUGGUGGCGAGUGGCGAACGGGUGAGUAAUGUAUCGGAACGUGCCUAGUAGCGGGGGAUAACUACGCGAAAGCGUAGCUAAUACCGCAUACGCCCUACGGGGGAAAGCAGGGGAUCGCAAGACCUUGCACUAUUAGAGCGGCCGAUAUCGGAUUAGCUAGUUGGUGGGGUAACGGCUCACCAAGGCGACGAUCCGUAGCUGGUUUGAGAGGACGACCAGCCACACUGGGACUGAGACACGGCCCAGACUCCUACGGGAGGCAGCAGUGGGGAAUUUUGGACAAUGGGGGAAACCCUGAUCCAGCCAUCCCGCGUGUGCGAUGAAGGCCUUCGGGUUGUAAAGCACUUUUGGCAGGAAAGAAACGUCAUGGGCUAAUACCCCGUGAAACUGACGGUACCUGCAGAAUAAGCACCGGCUAACUACGUGCCAGCAGCCGCGGUAAUACGUAGGGUGCAAGCGUUAAUCGGAAUUACUGGGCGUAAAGCGUGCGCAGGCGGUUCGGAAAGAAAGAUGUGAAAUCCCAGAGCUUAACUUUGGAACUGCAUUUUUAACUACCGAGCUAGAGUGUGUCAGAGGGAGGUGGAAUUCCGCGUGUAGCAGUGAAAUGCGUAGAUAUGCGGAGGAACACCGAUGGCGAAGGCAGCCUCCUGGGAUAACACUGACG
rnacentral:rRNA from 3 species